rnacentral:rRNA from 1 species
GAACCUGCGGAAGGAUCAUUACCGAGUGAGGGCCCUCUGGGUCCAACCUCCCACCCGUGUCUAUCGUACCUUGUUGCUUCGGCGGGCCCGCCGUUUCGACGGCCGCCGGGGAGGCCUUGCGCCCCCGGGCCCGCGCCCGCCGAAGACCCCAACAUGAACGCUGUUCUGAAAGUAUGCAGUCUGAGUUGAUUAUCGUAAUCAGUUAAAACUUUCAACAACGGAUCUCUUGGUUCCGGCAUCGAUGAAGAACGCAGCGAAAUGCGAUAAGUAAUGUGAAUUGCAGAAUUCAGUGAAUCAUCGAGUCUUUGAACGCACAUUGCGCCCCCUGGUAUUCCGGGGGGCAUGCCUGUCCGAGCGUCAUUGCUGCCCUCAAGCACGGCUUGUGUGUUGGGCCCCCGUCCCCCUCUCCCGGGGGACGGGCCCGAAAGGCAGCGGCGGCACCGCGUCCGGUCCUCGAGCGUAUGGGGCUUUGUCACCUGCUCUGUAAGCCCGGCCGGCGCCAGCCGACACCCAACUUUAUUUUUCUAAGGUUGACCUCGGAUCAGGUAGGGAUACCCGCUGAACUUAAGCA